rnacentral:rRNA from 8 species
GUACUUGGUGUUACUGCGAAGGGGGGACGGAGAAGGCUAUGUUGGCCGGGCGACGGUUGUCCCGGUUUAAGCGUGUAGGUGUGUGUUCCAGGUAAAUCCGGUUCACUUUAACACUGAGGCGUGAUGACGAGGCACUACGGUGCUGAAGCAACAAAUGCCCUGCUUCCAGGAAAAGCCUCUAAGCAUCAGGUAACAUCAAAUCGUACCCCAAACCGACACAGGUGGUCAGGUAGAGAAUACCAAGGCGCUUGAGAGAACUCGGGUGAAGGAACUAGGCAAAAUGGUGCCGUAACUUCGGGAGAAGGCACGCUGACACGUAGGUGAAGUGAUUUACUCAUGGAGCUGAAGUCAGUCGAAGAUACCAGCUGGCUGCAACUGUUUAUUAAAAACACAGCACUGUGCAAACACGAAAGUGGACGUAUACGGUGUGACGCCUGCCCGGUGCCGGAAGGUUAAUUGAUGGGGUCAGCGCAAGCGAAGCUCCUGAUCGAAGCCCCGGUAAACGGCGGCCGUAACUAUAACGGUCCUAAGGUAGCGAAAUUCCUUGUCGGGUAAGUUCCGACCUGCACGAAUGGCGUAAUGAUGGCCAGGCUGUCUCCACCCGAGACUCAGUGAAAUUGAACUCGCUGUGAAGAUGCAGUGUACCCGCGGCAAGACGGAAAGACCCCGUGAACCUUUACUAUAGCUUGACACUGAACAUUGAGCCUUGAUGUGUAGGAUAGGUGGGAGGCUUUGAAGCGUGGACGCCAGUCUGCGUGGAGCCGACCUUGAAAUACCACCCUUUAAUGUUUGAUGUUCUAACGUGGACCCGUAAUCCGGGUUGCGGACAGUGUCUGGUGGGUAGUUUGACUGGGGCGGUCUCCUCCUAAAGAGUAACGGAGGAGCACGAAGGUUGGCUAAUCCUGGUCGGACAUCAGGAGGUUAGUGCAAUGGCAUAAGCCAGCUUGACUGCGAGCGUGACGGCGCGAGCAGGUGCGAAAGCAGGUCAUAGUGAUCCGGUGGUUCUGAAUGGAAGGGCCAUCGCUCAACGGAUAAAAGGUACUCCGGGGAUAACAGGCUGAUACCGCCCAAGAGUUCAUAUCGACGGCGGUGUUUGGCACCUCGAUGUCGGCUCAUCACAUCCUGGGGCUGAAGUAGGUCCCAAGGGUAUGGCUGUUCGCCAUUUAAAGUGGUACGCGAGCUGGGUUUAGAACGUCGUGAGACAGUUCGGUCCCUAUCUGCCGUGGGCGCUGGAGAACUGAGGGGGGCUGCUCCUAGUACGAGAGGACCGGAGUGGACGCAUCACUGGUGUUCGGGUUGUCAUGCCAAUGGCACUGCCCGGUAGCUAAAUGCGGAAGAGAUAAGUGCUGAAAGCAUCUAAGCACGAAACUUGCCCCGAGAUGAGUUCUCCCUGAGACUU